rnacentral:tRNA from 1 species
GGAGAGAUGGCCGAGUCUGGCUGAAGGCGCUCGACUCGAAAUCGAGUAGGCAGUUAUCUGCCUCGUGAGUUCAAAUCUCACUCUCUCCG